rnacentral:rRNA from 1 species
AGUGAACGCUGGCGGUAGGCCUAACACAUGCAAGUCGAACGGCAGCACCGUAAGAGCUUGCUCUUACGGGUGGCGAGUGGCGGACGGGUGAGGAAUACAUCGGAAUCUACUUUUUCGUGGGGGAUAACGUAGGUAAACUUACGCUAAUACCGCAUACGACCUACGGGUGAAAGCAUGGGAUCUUCGGACCUUGCGCGAUUGAAUGAGCCGAUGUCGGAUUAGCUAGUUGGCGGGGUAAAGGCCCACCACGGCGACGAUCCGUAGCUGGUCUGAGAGGAUGAUCAGCCACACUGGAACUGAGACACGGUACAGACUCCUACGGGAGGCAGCAGUGGGGAAUAUUGGACAAUGGGAGCAAGCCUGAUCCAGCCAUACCGCGUGGGUGAAGAAGGCCUUCGGGUUGUAAAGCCCUUUUGUUGGGAAAGAAAAGCAGCAGGUUAAUACCCCGCUGUUCUGACGGUACCCAAAGAAUAAGCACCGGCUAACUUCGUG